rnacentral:rRNA from 1 species
UCGGGAAAUUUGGGCAAUGGGCGAAAGCCUGACCCAGCAACGCCGCGUGAGGGAUGAAGUAUUUCGGUAUGUAAACCUCGAAAGAAUGGGAAGAAUAAAUGACGGUACCAUUUAUAAGCUCCGGCUAACUACGUGCCAGCAGCCGCGGUAAUACGUAGGGAGCAAGCGUUGUUCGGAUUUACUGGGCGUAAAGGGCGCGUAGGCGGCGCGGUAAGUCACUUGUGAAAUCUCUGAGCUUAACUCAGAACGGCCAAGUGAUACUGCUGUGCUAGAGUGCGGAAGAGGCAACCGGAAUUCUUGGUGUAGCGGUGAAAUGCGUAGAUAUCAAGAGGAACACCUGAGGCGAAGGCGGGUUGCUGGGCCGACACUGACGCUGAUGCGCGAAAGCCAGGGGAGCAAACG